rnacentral:lncRNA from 10 species
GAGCACUGUAACGAUCAUGGAUCACUGCGGCUUCAACCUCUUGGGCUUAAGCAUUCCUCCCAGCUCGGCCUCCCAAGUAGUCUACUGUGGGCAAGGACACACCUUGCGGCUGGAAGUGUUUUCCUGGAAAUCAGUAGUGCUGGGAGGCAAAGACAUGAAGGAGAUUGUGGGCAGCCUCCAGUGUCCAGAGAAGGUAGAGUGCUGUUUUAAAGAAAAGGAGCCGUGGCCACAGAGACAAGACAGAACUUGAGACCUCACAUUGUACCCUACUGUUUCUCAGGUCUCUAAAGCCAAAAUGUCUUUCCUAUUCUACUUUUCUCCAGAAGAGUAAGGAAUUACACAAAGAUCCAUUCAAACAAUAUCACGAACAACCUACCCAGAUCCCUGGAUAUUAUUUUUCUAGUAUCAAUAACUUUAAUGACAAAGUUGAGCACCUGGAUAGACCUGAAACAAAUCUUUAACAAUGAACUUUAGAGUUAAUUUGUUUUUGAAAAUACACACACUUCAGUAUAGCAGUGUUUUCAUGAUGCCACAGGAUAUUCAUAAACAGGACUCAGAAUUCAAACUGGGUGGGGGGAAUGCAGAGUUAGAAAAGAUUAAGUAGGUUCCUUCACUAUUGAACUUCUAAGAAUCCAUAACACUAAAUUAGAAAAAAAAAUUUCCAAAUCUCAAGCAUAUGUGUAUGAAAGUACCUCCUAUAUGACCUUGAACCCAGCAUAGCUUUAUUCAUCCUAUCUUGGAAUUCAUUAAGACUUGUGCCCAUACAGAAACAGACACAGAGACCAAUGGAACAGGUUAGAAAACCCAGAAAUAAAGCCACACACCUGCAACCAUCUGAUCUUCAACAAAGUUGACAAAAACAAGCAAUGGGGAAAGGACUCCCUAUUCAAUAAAUGAUGCUGGGACAAUUGGCUAGCCAUAUGCAGAAGAUUGAAACUGGAUCCCUCCCUUUCACUAUAUACAAAAAUCAGCUCAAGAUGGAGUAAAGAUUUAAAUAUAAAACCUAAAACUAUAAAACACCCUAGAAGAAAACAUAGGAAAUAGCAUUCUGGACAUAGGACCUGGCAAAGAUUUCAUGAUGAAGACUCCAAAGGCAACUGCAGCAAAAACAAAAAUUGACAAGUGGGACCUAAUUAAACUAAGGAGCUUCUGCACAGCAAAAGAAACUAUCAACAGGGUACACAGACAACCUACAGAAUGGGAGAAAACAUUUGAAAAUUAUGCACCUGACGAAAGUCUAAUAUCCAGAAUCUAUAAGGAACUUAAACAAUUCAACAAGCAAAAAACAAACAAUUCCAUUAAAAAAUGGGCAAAGGACAUGAACAGACACUUCUCAAAAGAAGACAUACAUGUGGCCAACAAAUACAAGGAAAAAAAUGCCCAACAUCACUAAUCAUUAAAGAAAUACAAAUCAAAACUACAACGGGAUACCAUCUCAUACCAGUCAGAAUGGCUAUUAUUAAAAAGUAAAAGAGAAAUAACAGAUGCCGGCAAGGUUGCAGAGAAAGGGGAAUGAAUAUACACUGCUGGUGGGAAUGUAAAUUAGUUCAGCUACUGUGGAAAGCAAUUUGGAGAUUUCUUGAAUGUAAAACAGAAUUGCUAUUUGACCCAGCAAUCCCAUUACUGGGUUUAAACCCAAAAGAAUAUAAAUCCUUCUACCAUAAAGACACAUGCACACAUAUGUUCAUUGCAGCACUAUUCCACAAUAGCAAAGACAUGGAAUCAACCUAAAUACCCCUCAAUGGUGGACUGGAUAAAGAAAAUGUGGUACAUAUAUACCAUGGAAUACUAUGCAGCCACAAAAAAGAAUGACAUCAUGUCUUCUGCAGCAAAAUGGAUGGAGCUGGAAGCCAUUAUUGUAAGCAAAUUAACGCAGGAACAGAAAACAAGAUACCACAUGUUCUCACUUAUAAGUGGGAGCUAAACAUUGAGUACACACGGACACCAUGGAGACAACAGACACUGGGGCCUACUUGAGGGUGGAGGGAGGGAGAAGAGUGAGGAUCAAAAAACUACCUACUGGGUACUGUGCUCACUACCUGGGUGAUGGGAUCAUUUGUGCAUCAAACCUCACUGACAAGCAAUUUACCCCUAUAACAAACCUGCACGUGUACUCCCUCGACCCAAAAUAAAAGUUGGA